GUAUAAAGACCAAGUAGGAUGAAACUGCGGACGGCUCAUUAUAACAGUAAUAGUUUCUUUGGUUAGUAAAGUACAAGGAUAGCUUUGUGAAUGAUAAAGAUAAUACUUGAGACGAUCCAAUUUGUAUUAGUACAAAGUGGCCAAUUUAUGUAAGUAAAUUGAGAAAUGACAUUCUAAGUGAGUUAGGAUGCCACGACAAUUGUAGAACACACAGUGUUUAACAAGUAACCAAUGAGAAUUUCUGAUCUAUCAAUCAGUUGGUAGUAUCGAGGACUACCAAGAUUAUAACGGAUAACGAGGAAUUGGGGUUCGACAUCGGAGAGGGAGCUUUACAGAUGGCUACCACUUCUAAGGAAGGCAGCAGGCGCGUAAAUUACCCACUUUCGAAUUGAAGAGGUAGUGACGACACAUAACUCUAGAGUUGAGUAAAAUCAAUUCUUGAAGGAAUGAGUAGGAGGUAAAUUCUCCUACGAAAUCAAUUGGAGGGCAAGUCUGGUGCCAGCAGCCGCGGUAAUUCCAGCUCCCAAUAGUGA
rnacentral:rRNA from 1 species